rnacentral:misc_RNA from 1 species
GGACUACUAGGGUUUCUAAUCCUGUUUGAUACCCACACUUUCGAGCAUCAAUGUCAGUGGCAGUUUAGUAAGCUGCCUUCGCAAUCGGAGUUCUUCGUGAUAUCUAAGCAUUUCACCGCUACACCACGAAUUCCGCCUACCUCAACUGUACUCAAGACUGCCAGUAUCAAUUGCAAUUUUACGGUUGAGCCGCAAACUUUCACAACUGACUUAACAACCCAUCUACGCUCCCUUUAAACCCAAUAAAUCCGGAUAACGCUCGGAUCCUCCGUAUUACCGCGGCGGCUG